rnacentral:rRNA from 1 species
UUACUAAGCGGAGGAAAAGAAACUAACAAGGAUUCCCCUAGUAACGGCGAGUGAAAAGGGAAAAGCCCAGCACCGAAUCCCACAGCCUUGCGCUGUCGGGAACUGUGGUGUAUAGGAAGCCUACUUGUCGGCGUGUUCGGGUACCCAAGUCCUCCUGAUCGUGGCCUCUCCCAUAGCGGGUGUCAGGCCCAUACAGGCACCCGACGGCGUCGGCUUGGAGCUUCCUCGGAGUCGGGUUGUUUGGGAAUG